rnacentral:rRNA from 1 species
GGGUUGUGAGGUUAAGCGACUAAGCGUACACGGUGGAUGCCCUGGCAGUCAGAGGCGAUGAAGGACGUGCUAAUCUGCGAUAAGCGUCGGUAAGGUGAUAUGAACCGUUAUAACCGGCGAUUUCCGAAUGGGGAAACCCAGUGUGUUUCGACACACUAUCAUUAACUGAAUCCAUAGGUUAAUGAGGCGAACCGGGGGAACUGAAACAUCUAAGUACCCCGAGGAAAAGAAAUCAACCGAGAUUCCCCCAGUAGCGGCGAGCGAACGGGGAGCAGCCCAGAGCCUGAAUCAGUGUGUGUGUUAGUGGAAGCGUCUGGAAAGGCGCGCGAUACAGGGUGACAGCCCCGUACACAAAAAUGCACAUGCUGUGAGCUCGAUGAGUAGGGCGGGACACGUGGUAUCCUGUCUGAAUAUGGGGGGACCAUCCUCCAAGGCUAAAUACUCCUGACUGACCGAUAGUGAACCAGUACCGUGAGGGAAAGGCGAAAAGAACCCCGGCGAGGGGAGUGAAAAAGAACCUGAAACCGUGUACGUACAAGCAGUGGGAGCCUCUUAAUGGGGUGACUGCGUACCUUUUGUAUAAUGGGUCAGCGACUUAUAUUCUGUAGCAAGGUUAACCGAAUAGGGGAGCCGAAGGGAAACCGAGUCUUAACUGGGCGUUAAGUUGCAGGGUAUAGACCCGAAACCCGGUGAUCUAGCCAUGGGCAGGUUGAAGGUUGGGUAACACUAACUGGAGGACCGAACCGACUAAUGUUGAAAAAUUAGCGGAUGACUUGUGGCUGGGGGUGAAAGGCCAAUCAAACCGGGAGAUAGCUGGUUCUCCCCGAAAGCUAUUUAGGUAGCGCCUCGUGAAUUCAUCUCCGGGGGUAGAGCACUGUUUCGGCAAGGGGGUCAUCCCGACUUACCAACCCGAUGCAAACUGCGAAUACCGGAGAAUGUUAUCACGGGAGACACACGGCGGGUGCUAACGUCCGUCGUGAAGAGGGAAACAACCCAGACCGCCAGCUAAGGUCCCAAAGUCAUGGUUAAGUGGGAAACGAUGUGGGAAGGCCCAGACAGCCAGGAUGUUGGCUUAGAAGCAGCCAUCAUUUAAAGAAAGCGUAAUAGCUCACUGGUCGAGUCGGCCUGCGCGGAAGAUGUAACGGGGCUAAACCAUGCACCGAAGCUGCGGCAGCGACACUAUGUGUUGUUGGGUAGGGGAGCGUUCUGUAAGCCUGUGAAGGUGUACUGUGAGGUAUGCUGGAGGUAUCAGAAGUGCGAAUGCUGACAUAAGUAACGAUAAAGCGGGUGAAAAGCCCGCUCGCCGGAAGACCAAGGGUUCCUGUCCAACGUUAAUCGGGGCAGGGUGAGUCGACCCCUAAGGCGAGGCCGAAAGGCGUAGUCGAUGGGAAACAGGUUAAUAUUCCUGUACUUGGUGUUACUGCGAAGGGGGGACGGAGAAGGCUAUGUUGGCCGGGCGACGGUUGUCCCGGUUUAAGCGUGUAGGCUGGUUUUCCAGGCAAAUCCGGAAAAUCAAGGCUGAGGCGUGAUGACGAGGCACUACGGUGCUGAAGCAACAAAUGCCCUGCUUCCAGGAAAAGCCUCUAAGCAUCAGGUAACAUCAAAUCGUACCCCAAACCGACACAGGUGGUCAGGUAGAGAAUACCAAGGCGCUUGAGAGAACUCGGGUGAAGGAACUAGGCAAAAUGGUGCCGUAACUUCGGGAGAAGGCACGCUGAUAUGUAGGUGAAGUCCCUCGCGGAUGGAGCUGAAAUCAGUCGAAGAUACCAGCUGGCUGCAACUGUUUAUUAAAAACACAGCACUGUGCAAACACGAAAGUGGACGUAUACGGUGUGACGCCUGCCCGGUGCCGGAAGGUUAAUUGAUGGGGUUAGCGGUAACGCGAAGCUCUUGAUCGAAGCCCCGGUAAACGGCGGCCGUAACUAUAACGGUCCUAAGGUAGCGAAAUUCCUUGUCGGGUAAGUUCCGACCUGCACGAAUGGCGUAAUGAUGGCCAGGCUGUCUCCACCCGAGACUCAGUGAAAUUGAACUCGCUGUGAAGAUGCAGUGUACCCGCGGCAAGACGGAAAGACCCCGUGAACCUUUACUAUAGCUUGACACUGAACAUUGAGCCUUGAUGUGUAGGAUAGGUGGGAGGCUUUGAAGUGUGGACGCCAGUCUGCAUGGAGCCGGCCUUGAAAUACCACCCUUUAAUGUUUGAUGUUCUAACGUUGGCCCCUGAUCGGGGUUGCGGACAGUGUCUGGUGGGUAGUUUGACUGGGGCGGUCUCCUCCUAAAGAGUAACGGAGGAGCACGAAGGUUGGCUAAUCCUGGUCGGACAUCAGGAGGUUAGUGCAAUGGCAUAAGCCAGCUUGACUGCGAGCGUGACGGCGCGAGCAGGUGCGAAAGCAGGUCAUAGUGAUCCGGUGGUUCUGAAUGGAAGGGCCAUCGCUCAACGGAUAAAAGGUACUCCGGGGAUAACAGGCUGAUACCGCCCAAGAGUUCAUAUCGACGGCGGUGUUUGGCACCUCGAUGUCGGCUCAUCACAUCCUGGGGCUGAAGUAGGUCCCAAGGGUAUGGCUGUUCGCCAUUUAAAGUGGUACGCGAGCUGGGUUUAGAACGUCGUGAGACAGUUCGGUCCCUAUCUGCCGUGGGCGCUGGAGAACUGAGGGGGGCUGCUCCUAGUACGAGAGGACCGGAGUGGACGCAUCACUGGUGUUCGGGUUGUCAUGCCAAUGGCACUGCCCGGUAGCUAAAUGCGGAAGAGAUAAGUGCUGAAAGCAUCUAAGCACGAAACUUGCCCCGAGAUGAGUUCUCCCUGACUCCUUGAGAGUCCUGAAGGAACGUUGAAGACGACGACGUUGAUAGGCCGGGUGUGUAAGCGCAGCGAUGCGUUGAGCUAACCGGUACUAAUGAACCGUGAGGCUUAACCUUACAACGCCGAAGGUGUUU